rnacentral:misc_RNA from 1 species
GAUGAAGAACGCAGCGAAAUGCGAUACGUAAUGUGAAUUACAGAAUUCAGUGAAUCAUCGAAUCUUUGAACGCAUAUUGCGCUCUCUGGUAUUCCGGAGAGCAUGCUUGUUUGAGUAUCAGUAAACACCUCAACUUCCAUAUCUUUUUUGAAAUGGGAGUUGGACUUGAGUGAUCCCAACGCUUUUCCUCACCGAAAAGUGGCGGGUUACUUGAAAUGCAGGUGCAGCUGGACUUUUCUCUGAGCUAUAAGCAUAUCUAUUUAGUCUGCCUAAAAAACAGAUUAUUACCUUUGCUGCAGCUAACAUAAAGGAGAUUAGUUCUUGUGCUGACUGAUGCAGGAUUCACAAAGACAGGCUUCGGCCGACUUUGUAAACUCGAUCUCAAAUCAAGUAAGACUACCCGCUGAACUUAAGCAUAUCAAUAAGCGGAGGA